UCAAGCUUGGGCUCUAGAGGGCUAAGGGUUUGAAGGAAAGGGCAGGAUGCUUGGCUUUGGCUCUUGGGCAGCUGGAGGUCUGUACACCCUGUGUCCAUUCCCUCCUCUGCCAUCUCAGAGUUAAGAUGGGGUAGGGGGAGAGCAGAGAGAGAGAGAGAGAGAGAGAGAGAGAGAAGAGACAGACAAAAGUGAGUGAGAGAGAAUGGGGAAAAAAUGACAGAAGCCGGAGUAAGUGAUUGAGAAAAGGGACAGAGAUACUGAGAGAGAAAAGAAUAGUGAACAAUGGAGAGAUGGAAGACAGUGAAAUGAGAGAGAAAAAAAGAGACUGCAGAAAAGCUGGACACAGGGCUAGACCCCAGGGUGGAAAGACUGACAGAGAGCAGAGAGCAAGGAAGGGAGCGAGAAGAGAGGGACAGAUGGUCUGAGGGGCAGUUUGACCACCUCCCCUUCCUGGUCUGUCCCCUCAGGGCUCCUCCCCCCCUGCACAACACCCCCCCUCCACCCCAAGCCUGGCACACCAGACCAGGGCAGCCUUAACGAGCCCCGGGCAGCAUCAGGAAUGGUGAGAGAAACCUGAGCGCUCCCAGAGUCCCCGGCACCCAGCACCCACCCCUAGCAGCUGGUUUGGGGCUGGCACUUGCCCUGCCCCAGAGCAGCCCAGCUCCUUGACCCUUUUCCCAGCUCUAGAUUCUCUUAAGCCCCCAUUCCCUCAGGCCCCCAUCUCAGAAGAGACAGAUGAGUUCUGGAAAAGGGAAUAGAAGAAAAUACGUAUUGUGGAGCCGCUAUGUGCCAGCUAUGAGACGAGGAGAGGGGCAGAUGGCAGCUCACGGGCCGAGUGGGCAGAAGCAGAGCUCUCUCGUUUCAGUGACCAUCUCCUAUGGCAAGGCAGCAAGCUCGGUGUUGAAAUACAGACACGAACUAAACUUGGUCCUUGGAGUUUACAAGAUGUGUGCCAAGUGCUUCCAAACGCCACAUGUUCUGCUAUGCGACCUUGGCAUCUUGGAAUCCCCCAGCUUGCUGUUGGCCUUCACUUACCCAAACACUUCCAGCUGUAGGUCUGG